CACACAUUGGGCAGAGAAGAACGCGUUGACUUUGUGUUGGCGAUCGGGAAACGUGGAUUUACUCAAGGUAUACAAAUGGCUGUGCAUACGGGAGGCUUGUGCUUACAUGACAAUCUCUACAUGUUGAUCCAACUGAUGUGUGAACGUUUCUGUCAUUUUUCUAUCAUGUAAAGGAAACCCCUUCAUUACCCUGGCAAUGGACUCACAGCUAAACUAUGCUCUAUCUAUGCUAAUUUAAGAAAUGAGCCGAAUAAUUCGAUUUAUACACAUUUUAUUUAGCAAUAGCUUGUGGCUAUUAAAUGUUUCUUGAUUGCUAGACACACAACAUUCCAAUUCCAGUUGAUCGUCUACCCUUCCUUUAUUUUGUAA